CCCUUAGAUGUUCUGGGCUGCACGCGCGCUACACUGACACACUCAGCGAGUCUCCUGGUCCGAGAGGAUUGGGUAAUCAUGUGAGCGUGUGUCGUGAUGGGGAUAGAAUAUUGUAAUUAUUACUCUUCAACGAGGAAUUCCUAGUAAACGCAAGUCAUCAACUUGCAUUGAUUACGUCCCUGCCCUUUGUACACACCGCCCGUCGCACCUACCGAUUGAACGUUCCGGUGAGACCUUGGGAUUUGGUCUUUGAUACUUUAUUGUGUCGUUGACCGAAAAACUUGAGCAAACCUUAACGUUUAGAGGAAGGUGAAGUCGUAACA
rnacentral:rRNA from 1 species